rnacentral:rRNA from 1 species
AACUUUUCAACAACGGAUCUCUUGGCUCUCGCAUCGAUGAAGAACGCAGCGAAAUGCGAUAAGUAAUGUGAAUUGCAGAUUUUCAGUGAAUCAUCGAAUCUUUGAACGCACCUUGCGCCCCUUGGUAUUCCGAGGGGCAUGCCUGUUUGAGUGUCAUU